rnacentral:rRNA from 1 species
UUCCUCGAGUCGUUGAUUUCACACUGCCGAGAAAAGCCUCUAGCUAGAAUAACGGUGCCCGUACCGCAAACCGACACAGGUAGUCAAGAUGAGAAUUCUAAGGUGAGCGAGCGAACUCUCGUUAAGGAACUCGGCAAAAUGACCCCGUAACUUCGGGAGAAGGGGUGCUCUUUGAGGUUCACGCUUCGAAGAGCCGCAGUGAAUAGGCCCAAGCGACUGUUUAUCAAAAACACAGGUCUCUGCUAAACCGUAAGGUGACGUAUAGGGGCUGACGCCUGCCCGGUGCUGGAAGGUUAAGAGGAGUGGUUAGCGCAAGCGAAGCUACGAAUCGAAGCCCCAGUAAACGGCGGCCGUAACUAUAACGGUCCUAAGGUAGCGAAAUUCCUUGUCGGGUAAGUUCCGACCCGCACGAAAGGCGUAACGAUUUGGGCACUGUCUCAACGAGAGACUCGGUGAAAUCAUAGUACCGGUGAAGAUGCCGGUUACCCGCGACAGGACGGAAAGACCCCGUGGAGCUUUACUGUAGCCUGAUAUUGAAAUUCGGUACAGUUUGUACAGGAUAGGUAGGAGCCUUAGAAGCGUGAGCGCUAGCUUACGUGGAGGCAUUGGUGGGAUACUACCCUAAUUGUAUUGGAUUUCUAACCCGCAGCACUUAUCGUGCUGGGAGACAGUGUCAGGCGGGCAGUUUGACUGGGGCGGUCGCCUCCUAAAGAGUAACGGAGGCGCUCAAAGGUUCCCUCAGAAUGGUUGGAAAUCAUUCAUAGAGUGUAAAGGCAUAAGGGAGCUUGACUGCGAGACCUACAAGUCGAGCAGGGUCGAAAGACGGACUUAGUGAUCCGGUGGUUCCGCAUGGAAGGGCCAUCGCUCAACGGAUAAAAGCUACCCCGGGGAUAACAGGCUUAUCUCCCCCAAGAGUUCACAUCGACGGGGAGGUUUGGCACCUCGAUGUCGGCUCAUCGCAUCCUGGGGCUGUAGUCGGUCCCAAGGGUUGGGCUGUUCGCCCAUUAAAGCGGUACGCGAGCUGGGUUCAGAACGUCGUGAGACAGUUCGGUCCCUAUCCGUCGUGGGCGUAGGAAAUUUGAGAGGAGCUGUCCUUAGUACGAGAGGACCGGGAUGGACAUACCUCUGGUGUACCAGUUGUCGUGCCAACGGCAUAGCUGGGUAGCUAUGUAUGGACGGGAUAAGUGCUGAAAGCAUCUAAGCAUGAAGCCCCCCUCGAGAUGAGAUUUCCCAACUUCGGUUAUAAGAUCCCUCAAAGAUGAUGAGGUGAAU